rnacentral:lncRNA from 1 species
UGAGUGUAUGAGUGUAAGUGUGUGUGUGUGUGUAUGUUUGUCUGUGUGUGUGUGUGUGUGUGUGUUGAGUUGGAGGUUUCCCUGGCACAGAAUCAAGCUCCAGUCUGUCAUGACUCAUGUGGGGGAUUGCCAGAGGACCCCAGGGCCAAGGAUGAUGCAGUCUAUGCACAGGUGACAAAACAGGAUUCUCUGAAGGGCAAGCGGAAGGUGAGAGCUGUGAGUGGUGACCAGCCAUGUCUCAUGGCACCCAGCCCUGGGCUGCUUGCCCAAAGCCAGGAUAUUGGUGACAAACAUCUGGAAGGAAAGUGGCCCUGCAACAGUGUUUACAGUGUGGACCAGAGACCAGGCCAGGCCAGGCCUUGAAGAUGACUUAUUUGGAGGAGGGAGGAGAACCCAGCACUAGGGAGACACCUGCACUCUGCACCUGACACCUGCAGAUACCUACCUCCUCUGACUUCAGUUCAGCUCGAGAUGCAGCUGGUCUGCAUGAACCUGAAUUUUUUUAAUAUUUAUUUUUUAG